AUAAACACCUGUGACCAGAAUACCUGGAGAGGAAACUACAGCGUAGAACCCUCUUCAGGGCUUCCAUCAAACAGAAGCAGAAGAGACAAAAAAGUCUUUAUCAUUGCUGACUUAUCAAAAGCCCAUGUGUGCAGUCAAGAGGCGAGGGUGCCACUCCAGGUGCCCUUCCCAAAACCAAGGGACUCAUGGGUGCAUGACAGAUGGGG